UUUUAGCCCCGAUAGUAGUGGAAAUCCUUUUGUUUUUUUCUUUUAAAAAAACAAAAGAUUGCAACGAAUAGCGGGAUUAGCU
rnacentral:sRNA from 1 species